UUUGCCGGAUUCGCAUUUCCAAGGCUCAGUUUGUGUUUUGUGCAAUUAUUUUUCACAGCAAAAGAAAUCACUACGACUAUGCCGCCAGCCAAUAACGUUUAGUUUACAAGGGCCCAAGGCCUGCGUAAUCAGCCAGAGCAAACAGCUGAUGAGAAAUCGUUUAGGAGGAGAAAGUAUUUGUUUGUGUAAAUAAUUCGUUAAUAUAGCCGUUAUGACUGUCUGCGAAGGAAAUUGUCUGUAGUCUUAUAACGGUAACAGUGAAGGAAUCUGGCUUUCACAUUCCACAUUGCGAUAUAAUGGAAGGAAGUGGUGAUACUAAAUGUGCAUCACUAAUGGAUGAGGAAUUGAAUUAUCUGAUUGGGGACUACAGCAUUCCCCAUGUUGCAGAACUUGGCCAAGAUUCAGUACUUGCACACUCGCAGUAUGCCAAGGUCAUAUUCCAUGAUAUUGCUGACACAUACCCAACUGAUGCUGACAUCUGUUGCCGAUAUUCUCUGACUGAUGGUGUGACAGUGUCACAUGGAGAUAGAAUUGCCCUUUAUCGAGUGGGAUGGAGCUCGGUCCAGGAACAUCUUGUGUUUGAGUGGGUGCCAGUGACAGAUACAACUGAGCUUCAGGUUCUCUUCAAAGCCAGCAGUCUCCCUAAAGAUGAAGACGAGUUCUAUCAACUCUGUUAUGUGACGACAAAUGGCCUAGUGUGUGGGGCUAGUGUACCUUUCCAGUUCCGCCACCUACAUGAAAAUGAACUCUGUGCUGUGGAAGAACAGGAUGGUAUGAUGGUGGUCAGAUCCAGGACUGCUUUUACAGAAGAGAAGCUGAGAGAGGCUCUUGUAGCAAAUGAACUUCUACAGAAGGAGAAAGACAGCUUGGAGAAAGAGUUGGAUAUUUUGGAGAAGAAAUACAACAAAAUAUCAGCGGAAUUUCUGGCCGGCAUGCAGAAGAUCACCAAGCUGGAAACUGAAAAACAAUCACUGGAGAAGAAGCUAGAAGAUAAUUUGCAUAUGGAAUCUCAUUUGGAGUGGCUGAAGCGUGAUCUGCUUGCGUGUGACAAGGAGAAGCAUGAGAGUCUUGCCAAGCUGAACAAGGCAGAGCAGCACAUUCAAAACCUUAGAGCUACAAUGGAUACUCUAACUACUGACAAGGAGCACAUGGCACAAUUGUUACGGAAUGAGACCCAUAACAAGUCAGGCACUGCUUUAGAAAUUAUCCAAUACAAAGGCCAGGUUGACAGCCUCACACAAAUGUUGGAAGCUCUAACUGAGAGCAAGGAGCUGGCAUCGCAGGAGCUCCGAAUGCAGCGGGCAACAAAUGAUAAGUUACAAGAAGAAAUAUACGAUAUGCAGACACAAAGGAAGGUGCUUCAGCACAACGUGUCAGUAUUAGAGGAAGAGAAGAAGAUACUUCAGGAGCAGAUUUUAAGUGUUGAAAAGAUGUCAGAAGAGAAGACAGAACAGAUAAAUGAUCUUGAGAGGGAGAAGGAACGUCUGUUAAGUGAGCUUGUUCAGUCUGCAAGUCAGAGGGAAAAAGAAAUGCAGCUGAUAAGGGAAGUUUAUGAGGGACGUUUAAAAGAAGCAGCAAAUAAAGCUAUGAUUGUAGAGCAGGAUUUAAGUGCAGUCAUGGCAGAGGCAGAUGAGAGAAGGAAAGAUGCUCUAGAGAUAUCUCAAGUGAACAAAUGUUUGAAACAGCAAUUACAAGAAGCACAGAUUAUCAUUUCAGAAAAGGAACAAUCGGUAGUGCAAAUAGCAAGCGAGAGGACAAGUUUGGAAGCUGAUUUGAAAAAGGCUGGUGAUGCUCAAAAGAAGUUGAUUAAACAUAAUGAAUAUCUUAGUGCUCGUGUAAUGGAGAUUGAAAAUGAAUCAGCGUCCUUAAGUUUACAGUUGCAAGAAUUAAACAUACAGCAUGAGAGGAAGGUCCAUUUCAGGAACAUUUUCACAGAUUUAGAACAUAGAAUUAUAAACUUAGAAAUGAAACAGGAGGAGAUCAUAGCCAGUAAAAAUGUCCAGCUGGAAAGAAUUGACACAAUAGCUGAGCGACUUUCAAAACUGGAUGUGAAGGCACAGACAUUGCACUCUGAGCGAGAAGAUGUGGCAGCUACUCGUGACAUACAGGAGAGUGAACUAGCUCGAAUGGUUGGUAACCUGACGUCCUUAAAGGAACGUUUGAAGAAAAAUUAUUUGAUGCAAUUUGAUAUGCAUGAUGAUUUCAGUAUAGAAACUUUACAAGCAACUGUCAGUGAGUUGGAUGCUUUUGUGGAGAGCUCGAAGAUGAGGAUAUCUGACCUUGAUCAGCAAAUAAAGGAGGUAGAAGAAGAAAAGUCAGUCCUAAUGCAGCAGCAGUCCCAUGCUUUGGAAAAGAAAAACGAGUACAAGAGGCGUGAGGGAGAAGUACAUCAAGAGCUGGUUGAGCUGCAUGAACAUGAACGUGAAAUAAGGCAGGAACACGGAGGCCAGUUGACAGCACUGCAGGAUCAGUGUGACGAUGUAUCAGAUGGAAACAAUGAUAUGCUUGCAGCUGGUUUAACUCCAGGGGGAAAAGUGGCUGUGGCAAAGAUGGAGAAAGUAGACCUACAGGAGAAAUUGCAAGAAAGUAACGACAGUUCACUUGAGCAGUGUAGUAGCCCAAAUGUCACUGACAUGAAUACAUGCCUGAAGCAAGAACAGGAGUUAAAAUUGCGACUACAGUUGGCAGCAGCAGAGUACAGGAAACUGUACACUGAGAAGCAGAAGGUAGAAAGGCGGCUUACAAAACUGUACCACAAAAUGAAUGAAAAGAAACUAAAAUCUUCAUCUGCAUUGGAGCAGUCAAAGGCCAGUCCUGUGGCAAGAGAACAGCCCGUGACUGGAGAACUAAUUUCUCUCUCACAGGCUGCAGUGGCAGGUUCUGAAAAUCGCACGGCCCUCCCAUCACAAGAGAAAGGUGGUCCUGUUUCCUGCUUUUUAUGCCCAGUCUGCUCUGUGACAUUCCCUCGUGGAGCUUAUGAUUUGUUCACACAGCAUUUUGAAGCCCAUCUCAGCUAGACGGCAAGUAAUUUGUACCAAUAUUCUGCAUUACUUGAACAUUUCUCAACAGUUAUGAGAAGGAUUUAGAUUUUCAGAAAUGCAGCCUUACAUCACAGCAAAUUGUUUUGAAUUGACCUUUAGUUUUAUGUACUACUCAAACAUACCUAAGUAGAAAAGUAUAGUACUUGUAGAUCACCUUAAACUUUGUGUCUGAUAUCAGUGAGGGUUAUGAAUUACAUUGUUCAAAAAUAGAACUAGAUACACUGUGUCAUUGAACCCAGUGGAUGCCUGUGAAUAUUUUAUAUGUUUAAUCAUCUUAUAAUUCAGAUAUGACUGUAUUUCUUUAUUAUCCAAUAUUUAACAUUUUUUAAAAACACUGAAUGCAAGAUGAAUUGACUGUUACUUGUCAAGGAUGAAUCAACUUCAAGUGGCCAUAUAUUCUCUGAUCCAACUGUACUUCUUAAUUCCCUAUUCUGUUUGAAAGAUUAUACUAAAUUAGCAUUUAUCUUCAUUAUUGUCAUGCUAUCAAUAACUGGAAUUUCUCUUUGGGUGCUAAGGCUGUAGACAUGGAUUCCUUCACAAUAAAGAUGAAAACAAUAAA